rnacentral:lncRNA from 1 species
AAAGUAUCUCGUAGAAUGGACGGCGAAAUUCCCUUGCAUAGUUUCAAAAGGAAUAUACUGUUCAAAACAACUACAGCACAAAAUUGUGUAAUUCUGCAAAAUCAAGCGAAUGCAAAUACUGAGAUAAAUGGUACUUGUUCUAUGUUCUAUGCGACCUGCUGUUUCUUGCUCUUCUUCAGGCAUUUGCUUCUUUCUACAGAUUUUCUUCUCUUGGGACUGCACAUUUCACCAUCGUUGUCUGGCUCCUCGUCCCGUUCAAUAGUUCUACUCUUCUUUUUCUUUUUUUUCUUUUUUUCUUUUCUAGCAUACAUUUCACCAUUAUUAUCACUAUGGUCGACCACUCCAACUUGUUCUUCGUCCUCUUCAGUUGGUCUGCUCUUCUUUUUCUUCUUUUCUUUUCGGACUUCAGCCUCCGCCUCCACUAAAGACUCCAAUUGCUUGAAUUUCAUCUCUCCAGGCUCUAGAGCAAUAAUAGUGUUAGCAUGGGACCACGCAGAUGCCCUUGGAGAAAAUGGGAUUAAUGAAAAAUGCCAUUUCAGGUUUACAAUCUAAAAAGGUUCUAAUGACAAAAGGGGGCUGCCAUCUCAACCACCAUGUUAUUCAGGUAUGUGAUUGUUUACAUUGCCUAUUGUUAAACUUCUUCUAAACUAAGAAAUUGCAUUUGAAACUACGAACAACAAACAAUUGAUGUGCAGUGACAACUGUUGUGAAUAGAUAAUAACCUUCAACAGAAAAAUGUGAAUCAAGGACCACCGUUGUAAGGUGCUGCUUCAGAAAGACCUGCAUGAGAACAAAACAAGACAACUAGUUAAUCAUAGAAAUAGCUUAAAAUAUAUUAGAAAUCAUUCAUUUACAUCGAAGUAGACAUUUGAAACAAGUAUACUAUCAACUGCCAGUGACCACCAAGUUACUUCAUUUUGUUUGUGAAAUGAAAUGGAGGCCCAAAAUUAGUUCGUAAUGCAGCAAAACAAAAUUAACUCCAAUAUGUGCUUGAAUGUUAUGUCAGCCCUCAGCAGUUCUCGAACUUACAGCAGAUAGCAACUGUCUUGUGUUUGUGUCCCAGAUACGUAAGUAGCUAUCCAGUCCUACAAAGACAAACAUUUCCUGAGUUAUUCAUAAUUCUGAAACUUGAUGUUUUAAUUUGUAACAGAAACUAUCUAGAAUGCCAAGUGAAACAGGCAUCCCAGUAGAAAGAAUCUAAGCCUUUCUGGAGGUAGUCUUACCGCAAGAUGCUAUCAAAGGUAGCUCUGGAUGCCUAACAAUAGAUCUAAUACUUCCACUGCAUUUGCCAAUAUAGCAUCCCAGCAAUUUCCCUAAAAUGUGGGGGAAAUGUUGAUUUUGCAAUUUUAGUAUCAGAUAAAAAUUGAAGUAACAGUACUGAUAAUAAAACGGUCAAAUUUAGCUCAUCGCCGCUUGCACAUGUGAUACUUGCAACCAUUUUCUUCCUGUUAGUGUUACUGAUAACCUAUUUUCUCUCCUUAACAACCAUCUAAACAACAGUUCUACACAAGUGUUACUAAUAACCUAUUUUCUAUCCUUAACUACUAUCUAAGCAACAGUUUUACACAAAUUAUAGCCCAUGUUCAGCCUGCCCACAAUGUAUAUUCCUAUCAGUACACAUGUAGGUCAGCAUUGUUUUAGUUGGAAUACCACCUUAGAUGCAGACUACAGGCUAACAAAAGAGAGAAAAACUUAAGUAGCAACAGUGGAACAGAAGGUGCAUUGCCAGUUGUAACAAUCCAACACUACAAAAAAUAGAAACUGAACUAACAUAACAUUCUAAAGAAUGUGUCAUAUGAUCAAGUUUUCAAUUCUGAUUAAGAAGAGGGUACUAGCAUAUAGCAGCAUGCCAGCAUCUUACCUGUUCUCAUGUCGAAAGAAGCAAGGUCCCCUGUUCCUGUGCCAAUAUAGACAUCAUGCCCAUUUGGAUCAGCAGCAACUGCCUUGAUUGGUGACUCCCUAAAAUCAACAGAGACGGCAGGUCUUCUUUGCAAUGCAGUAUCAUAUAAGCGGACCUGAAAAGGUAAACAACGUUCGCAUAAAAUGAGUAUCAUCAUCAUCAUCAUUCAUUAGCAAAAUAUGGAGAGAUACCGGUGCCUUUACAUGAACAUGCCUUGCUAAUCUACUGCCUACAAGACUGUAAUGACACAAGUGCAAUAAAUUUCCCAGUACAACCCCCCAGUCAGUUAAUAGAUGCCUGAGUCACCAAGUGGGUUGUGAAGGUUGAUGUGAGGACCUGGUUAACCAGUUUAUGCAAAGCAAGAAUAAAAGUGUAAGAAGGAUGCUAGCUAUCUGUAGGCCUGUCACAUUGGAGGUAUGCCUUUGGGCGAGUUCUUAGCCUGGCAUAUUAGAGCAUCUCCAUCAGAUCCUAUCCAAUCUCCUAUAUCUAAGAAGUUGGGGUUUAGGAGAGGAAGGAGCUGCAACAGAUCUCCUAUAUCUAUAAUUUUACGAGAUCUCCUAAAAGAAGCAUAAUUUCUCCAAAAUAAAGGAGAUAAUUCUUCUCCCCUAUAUCCCUAAAAAAUAUGAGACAAGUUUAGGUAAUCUGCUGCGGCAGUACUCUCCUAUAUCCUAAAUUGACUUUAGAGUACUCCCUUAAAACAACUUAUAGAAGAUAUGACAUGAGAAAUCUGAUGGAGAUACUCACAGCUUAAAAACGUCAUGCAUUUAAACAAAUACGCAUAAACUUCGAAGCAAAAAACUAGCAUCCUUGCAGCUCAGGCACAUGAUAAUCUAUUUGAUCAAAAUAUGUUCAAUCUGUUGGAGUUUUUUUCUUUCAUAGCAAGAGAUACAAGCAUCAGUUUACAUUACCUGAUGAUUAUUUGUGCAGGCAACAAUUUUACGAUGAUCAUUCUUGCACAAGAAGGUUCCAGCAGUGAACCAAGGUCGAGUGAAUAUGCCAAGACUAUUUGCUCGGGGCUUCAGAUGAAACAAAGGAAGAAAAUCAUUUAAUAAAUGAUGAAG